rnacentral:snRNA from 1 species
AUUGCUUCUCGGCCUUUUGACUAAGAUCAAGUGUAGUAUCUGUUCUUAUCAGUUUAAUUUCACUAAAAUACUAUCAAUGGAAAUAAACCAGCAAAAGGUGGGAGGACAGUAAGCAGCAAUUCUAGUACUGAUUAUUUUACUUAGAGGUAGUGACUGAAAUAAGAGGUGAUGAUUGAGUAAAUCACACAUUGUAGCCACUGGUUUAUCACUCACUACUGAGACUGCACAACACAA